GGCUUAAUACAUGCAAGUCGAGCGGCCUCUUUCGGGAGGCAGCGGCGAACGGGUUAGUAACGCGUGGGAACGUGCCCUUUAGUACGGAAUAGCCAUUGGAAACGAUGAUUAAUACCGUAUACGCCCUUAGGGGGAAAGAUUUAUCGCUAAAGGAUCGGCCCGCGUUAGAUUAGGUUGUUGGUGGGGUAAUGGCCUACCAAGCCUACGAUCUAUAGCUGGUUUGAGAGGAUGAUCAGCAACGCUGGGACUGAGACACGGCCCAGACUUCUACGGAAGGCAGCAGUAGGGAAUCUUGGACAAUGGGCGAAAGCCUGAUCCAGCCAUGCCGCGUGAGUGAUGAAGGCCCUAGGGUUGUAAAACUCUUUCGCCAGGGAAGAUAAUGACGGUACCUGGUAAAGAAACCCCGGCUAACUCCGUGCCAGCAGCCGCGGUAAUACGGAGGGGGUUAGCGUUGUUCGGAAUUACUGGGCGUAAAGCGCACGUAGGCGGAUUAGUC
rnacentral:rRNA from 1 species